rnacentral:tRNA from 1 species
GGUGACUCAGUGGUAGAGCACUUGCCUUGCAUGCAUGAGGCCCUGGGUUCAAUUCCCUAGCACCA